ACCUAACCAGCUCAGUCGAUAGAGCAUGCGACUCUUGAUCUCAGGGUUAUGAGUUCAAGCCCCAUGUUGGGCA
rnacentral:tRNA from 1 species